GUGGUUUGGUGAACAACGUGGUUUCGUUAUCGAGGCAUUUUUUUUAAAUAUGUGACUGCGACACAGAGAGCAUUUCGCUCUCGGUUCGGUUUAAAUCCAAACGAAAGUGUUCCUGAUUGGAAGGCGAUUUUUAAUUGGAUCAAAUAAAUCAAGAACCUACUCAUCACACUAACUAAUCAAUAUAUUAAAGAUUGACUCGUGUGCUGUUUAUAAUGCUAAUACUCAUAGCACUUGUUCACUGUAUAAAUGCCAAGGAGCUGUUCGGUGUUCUGCACUUCAACAAAGCAAACUCUCUCCGAUGUUUCAAAGACAAAAAUUAUGACGUAUUGUUGUGACAGAAGAUCAAUUAAUUAGAGUAACAACUUCAGCUAAACUUUGUAAGAUAAUUGAAGUGGGUACCAGAAAAUGCGGAGGUGGCUACACAAUGGUCCGACAUACAUAAUUUUUUCACUGGCAGUUAUAUUAUAAUAUAUUAUGUGGAUGUACGUUAUAUAUGGUAUGGAC